rnacentral:rRNA from 1 species
UACGUAGGGUGCGAGCGUUAAUCGGAAUUACUGGGCGUAAAGGGUGCGCAGGCGGCGUCGCAAGUCAGGCGUGAAAUCCCCGGGCUUAACCUGGGAACUGCACUUGAAACUACGAUGCUGGAGUAUGGCAGAGGGAGGUGGAAUUCCACGUGUAGCGGUGAAAUGCGUAGAGAUGUGGAGGAACACCGAUGGCGAAGGCAGCCUCCUGGGCCAAUACUGACGCUCAUGCACGAAAGCGUGGGUAGCAAACAGG